GAGAAUUACGAAAGUUGAUUAUGGGGAUCAGAUUCUGAGUUUCGAAUAUAACGCAAAUAAGCAGAAAUCGGCGAUUCCGUUGGUUGACGAGGAGGGAUGGUGCUAUCUAUCAAAGGAGGCGGGCGAUUGGAAUCUGACAUUGAGUUCAUAAUAUAACACAUAUAAGCAGAAAUCGGAGUUUUCGGUGGUUGACGAGGGAUGUUGCUGUUUAUCAACGGAAGCGGACGAUUGGUAAUAUUUGCAGUGGAGGAGGACGGAUACCCUGCAAGCGAGAGCUUGGAGGCUUGGGCAGGUGAAUAGACGGAGGAGCAGAGAAGCUUUCAUAAGCAGGAGGUCCGGGGAUUUUUUGGCCAUUGUGGGAAUUUUGUACCUCAUCGGAUGUUGCUGCUGCUGGGCGGAGAACUGAACCCACACGCGAUUCAGCCGUGUCGAUGGUGAAUGAAUCUGCUGGAGAGGAAAUCGAGUAAGAGAAGGAAUUUGCAGAGUGAGAGCUAGAAUGAGAAGAUGUUGUUGUUUUUGUGGUUGGAUGCAGCAUUUGCAAAGAGCUUUCCUUUUGGAAAAUAAAGCAAUUCAUUUCUUUCCUUGA